GAUGAAGAACGUAGCGAAAUGCGAUAAGUAAUGUGAAUUGCAGAAUUCAGUGAAUCAUCGAGUCUUUGAACGCACAUUGCGCCCCCUGGUAUUCCGGGGGGCAUGCCUGUCCGAGCGUCAUUGCUGCCCUCAAGCACGGCUUGUGUGUUGGGCUCCGUCCUCCCGGGGACGGGCCCGAAAGGCAGCGGCGGCACCGAGUCCGGUCCUCGAGCGUAUGGGGCUUUGUCACCCGCUCUGUAGGCCCGGCCGGCGCCAGCCGACAACCCAUCAUCCUUUUCAGGUUGACCUCGGAUCAGGUAGGGAUACCCGCUGAACUUAAGCAUAUCAAUAAGCGGAGGA
rnacentral:misc_RNA from 1 species